rnacentral:rRNA from 1 species
UAAGAGUUUGAAUCCUGGCUCAGAUUGAACGCUGGCGGCAGGCCUAACACAUGCAAGUCGAGAGUUAGCUCAGAGAUCAGAAUGAACGCUGGCGGCAGGCUUAACACAUACAAGUCUAGCGCCCCGCAAGGGGAGCGGCAGACGGGUGAGUAACGCGUGGGAACGUACCCUUUUCUACGGAAUAACGCAUGGAAACGUGUGCUAAUACCGUAUACGCCCUUCGGGGGAAAGAUUUAUUGGAGAAGGAGCGGCCCGCGUUGGAUUAGCUAGUUGGUGGGGUAAAGGCCUACCAAGGCGACGAUCCAUAGCUGGUCUGAGAGGAUGGUCAGCCACAUUGGGACUGAGAUACGGCCCAAACUCCUACGGGAGGCAGCAGUGGGGAAUAUUGGACAAUGGGCGCAAGCCUGAUCCAGCCAUGCCGUGUGAGUGAUGAAGGCCUUAGGGUUGUAAAGCUCUUUCGCCGGUGAAGAUUGUGACGGUAACCGGAUAACAACCCCCGGCUAAGUUCGUGCCAGCAGCCGCGGUAAUACUAAGGGGGCUAGCGUUGUUCGGAAUUACUGGGCGUAUAGCGCGCGUAGGCGGAUAUUUUAAGUCAGGGGUGAUAUCCCGAGGCUCAGCCCCGGAGCUGCCUUUGAUACUGGGUAUCUAGAGUCCAGAAGAGGUGAGUGGAAUUCCGAGUGUAUAGGUGAAAUUCGUAGAUGUUCGGAGGAACACCAGUGGCGAAGGCGGCUCAGUGUUCUGGUACUGACGCUGAGUGCUGAAAGCAUGAGGGAGCAAACAGGAUUACAUACCCUGGUAGUCCACGCCGUAACGGUGAAUGUUAGCCGUCGGGCAGUUUACUGAUUCGGUGGCGCAAUUAACACAUUAAACAUUUCCGACCUGG